AACAAAAUAAAUCUAGGGUAUCUGCAAUCUUUUCAGCACUUAUUGCAUCUUGGCUUGUGCCCAGAGAGGAUCCGAAGCCAAAGGCUCUUGGUUAGUUUCGAACCUUGGCACCACCGAUGCCAAAGGCUCUUGUUUAGUUUCGAACCUUGGCAGUGGCUAAGGGUCGUGUGUGUGUGUUUUUUGGGACCAAGGGAGUAUAUACUAUAAAGGACAAUAUUGAAAUCCCAUUCAUUUGUUUGGAUAUCAUACCAUUGUCAAUAUUUCAGGUUUCAAUUCCGUUUUGAAAUCAAUCAGAAGUUUGCCUCAUUCUGACAAAAUUAAACAUUAAAAAGUUGCCAAUUUUGAUGGUAUAACAAAUUGUAUGGUCUCACCUGAGCAAUGUGAAAACAAAAUCUUCAAGUCAAGCUUUCAAACAAAGUACUAAGAACUAUAAUCAGAUCAUUUUUUACCAUCAGGAAAAGAAACUUAAAGCAAUUGAAUGAGCGAGCACAAGUACAAAUAGAUAAACGAGGAUCCGCAUGACCAGCAAAAUUCAUGCAAGAAAGACUAUUCAGUUGGUCAAAACUACAUCUUGGGCACUUAAUUGUCAAAUUAUGGGGCCAAGUUUGAAUUGUGAUAAAAAUUUGGGGCACUUGCUAGUAAUUUUAAAUAAAUCAAAAGGAUGAUAUAACGUUACCACAUCCCAUCUAUUAAAAGAAAA
rnacentral:lncRNA from 1 species